GGAGUAUAUGACCUUUGGCUUCCUUCUACUGUUAUUCUCUUCCAGUUAACAGUGGGGCGUGGUAUCCAGCUUGGCUGUGAACAAACUAACUGGUCACUCAGAGCUAAUGGCUUGGCUGCCUUAGAAUCAGGUCUCAGCUAAGUCCUUAGCUGGGCUAAGUUCUGCAGCCAAGAAGAGGAAAAGUUCCCAGGGUACAAAAAUGCCAAGAGUAAAGGAGGAAUUGUGUGCAGGGUAUUGGGAAAGAAAGGCAUGCAGAAGAACUGGGAUAGGAUGAGCUCUGCAACUUCCCGCAUCUGGCCCAAGCAGGCUGAUGGGUGGGAGUUAGUCUAUGAGUGGUGUUUGUGAUGCUCCCCCUCCCUUAAGGCCCCAAGUGAUUUUGUAGUAGUGUGGGCCCCCAUUGCCUAUGUGGAAUGGCUGUAUAGGGGCAUGUGACUUCAGGGACACAACAUUGUGUUGGUGUGACUGUAUCUGUCCUAGGCUGAUCAACAACUUCCAGAGAUAACAGGUCAGAAUCCCUGGAAGCUGGGGAUGUCCCCUCCAAAA